rnacentral:rRNA from 1 species
GUACGAGACGGGCUCGCGUCAUUAGCUAGUGUGAGUAAGCUCACAGCGACGAUGUAGCCGACUGUGAGGUUGAUCGGCGCAUUGGACUGAGACACGGCCCAGACUCCUACGGGAGGCAGCAGUGGGGAAUAUUGCGCAAUGGGGAAACCCUGACGCAGCGACGCCGCGUGAAGGAAGAAGGCCUUCGGGUUGUAAACUUCUUUGAUCGGGGACGAAAAUGACGGUACCCGAGGAACAAGCCACGGCUAACUACGUGCCAGCAGCCGCGGUAAUACGUAGGUGGCGAGCGUUGUCCGGAAUUACUGGGCGUAAAGGGCGUGUAGGCGGGGGGACAAGUCAGAUGUGAAAUACCGCGGCUUAACUGCGGGGGUGCAUCUGAAACUGUUCUUCUUGAGUGUCGGAGAGGAAAGUGGAAUUCCCAGUGUAGCGGUGAAAWRCRWARAGAUUGGGAGGAACACCAGUGGCGAAGGCGGCUUUCUGGACGAUAACUGACGCUGAGGCGCGAAAGCGUGGGGAGCAAACAGGAUUAGAUACCCUGGUAGUCCACGCUGUAAACGAUGGAUACUAGGUGUAGGAGGUAUCGACCCCUUCUGUGCCGGAGUUAACACAAUAAGUAUCCCGCCUGGGGAGUACGGCCGCAAGGCUGAAACUCAAAGGAAUUGACGG